UUUGAAAUCUGGCGUCUUUGGCGUCCGAGUUGUAAUUUGAAGAAGGUAUCUUUGGGCCCGGCUCUUGUCUAUGUUCCUUGGAACAGGACGUCACAGAGGGUGAGAAUCCCGUGCGAUGAGAUGACCCGGGUCUGUGUAAAGUUCCUUCGACGAGUCGAGUUGUUUGGGAAUGCAGCUCUAAGUGGGUGGUAAAUUCCAUCUAAAGCUAAAUAUUGGCGAGAGACCGAUAGCGAACAAGUACAGUGAUGGAAAGAUGAAAAGAACUUUGAAAAGAGAGUGAAAAAGUACGUGAAAUUGUUGAAAGGGAAGGGCUUGAGAUCAGACUUGGUAUUUUGCAUGCUGCUCUCUCGGGGGCGGCCGCUGCGGUUUACCGGGCCAGCAUCGGUUUGGAGCGGCAGGAUAAUGGCGGAGGAAUGUGGCACGGCUUCUGCUGUGUGUUAUAGCCUCUGACGAUACUGCCAGCCUAGACCGAGGACUGCGGUUUUUACCUAGGAUGUUGGCAUAAUGAUCUUAAGUCGCCCGUCUU
rnacentral:rRNA from 1 species